CCGGUCCCUUCUGCUCCUGCAGUCCAGCACCUCCCUAUCAGCGUGCCACGUUACACACACGCUGCAUCCAUAUAGAAUUCUAACAAUUUUUGUACAGAACAAAGCAUACAAUACUGCAAAUGGCCUGAAGGUGAUGGAAGAUUUUUUUUUCUAUCACCGAGGACAGAAAAACAUUCCCAAGGAACCACACGUUGAGCCAGCACGCACAGUAAGCCAGUGGCAGUACAGGACUUCUCUCUGUAGAAGACUUGACAGAGACACAGUGGGGAGGACCAUUUAAACAUUACAUCCAAUCAAAGUGUCAUUUGCAACCCAGAUGUAAAACUGUAAUGAUUUGGCCAUGAGGCGCUGCUAUUAUAAGCAGCUGGAAAUGAAUAUUAAUGGAGGAGAUUAAAAGUAUUCCAUGCUCAGUAUUUUUUAUUGUGCUGCUUCUUACUAGUGUACUAUAGAGCUUCUGCUUCUGACUGAAUUUAUAGUGUUAGAACAAUUUGUUCAAAAAUAGUUUUUUGUUGCUUCUUGUACAAUGAUAGUUCUUGUAUAUUGAUUGUUUAUUUUCAGCAUCAUUUAAAUGCUAUUUUUUAGUUGUGUGUCUUUGUUAUGUGAUGGACGCAGCUGAAAAAAAUGCUUUGAUUGGAUUUGUCAAUUCACACAGGACAGUCUAAUAAAUAUAAUUAGCAAAUGGA